GUCCGGUAUGCUCAAUGGAUGGGCGUUUGUCUGCAAAACAUACGUAAUCGGUUCGAUUCCGAUACCGGACUCUA
rnacentral:tRNA from 1 species